rnacentral:rRNA from 1 species
UUGUCCUACGGGAGGCAGCAGCUAAGAAUAUUGGGCAAUGGAGGAAACUCUGACCCAGCCAUGCCGCGUGAAUGAAGAAGGCCUUCGGGUUGUAAAGUUCUUUUAAUCGUGAAGAUGAUGACAGUAGCGGUAGAAAAAGCACCGGCUAACUUCGUGCCAGCAGCCGCGGUAAUACGAAGGGUGCAAGCGUUGUUCGGAUUUACUGGGCGUAAAGCGUCCGUAGGUGGUUUGUUAAGUCAGGGGUGAAAUCCCGGGGCCCAACCCCGGAACUGCCUUUGAUACUGGCGAACUGGAGCGUGAUAGAG